rnacentral:rRNA from 1 species
CAAUAGCGUAUAUUAAAGUUGUUGCGGUUAAAAAGCUCGUAGUUGGAUUUCUGCUGAGGACGACCGGUCCGCCCUCCGGGUGAGCAUCUGGUUCGGCCUUGGCAUCUUCUUGGUGAACGUAUCUGCACUUGACUGUGUGGUGCGGUACCCAGGACUUUUACUUUGAAAAAAUUAGAGUGUUCAAAGCAGGCUUUUGCUGUGAAUACAUUAGCAUGGAAUAAUAAUCUAGGACUUCGGUUUUAUUUUGUUGGUUUCUAACACUGAAGUAAUGAUUGAUAGGGAUAGUUGGGGGGUGCUAGUAUUGGCCGGCCAGAGGUGAAAUUCUUGGAUUCGGUCAAGACUAACUUAUGCGAAAGCAUUCACCAAGGAUGUCUUCUUUAAUCAAGAACGAAAGUUGGGGGAUCGAAGACGAUUAGAUACCG